CCCAUUUGGAUUCUAAAUUUUAUCUUGUAGGAGUAUUAAAUAUCUUUAAAAAGAAAUUCUUACAAUUCCCUAGAAAGAGGCUAAACGUAUAUAUUUAAGGGAAAUUCAUUCCCUUCUUCUAGCUGAAACUGUUGAGAGUUUUCCCUAAAAGCAUAGAACCACCAUUUUCUUCUUUUAGGUUCGAGUUGUAGAGAAAUUUCAAGGAGUAGCUGCAAUAUUUGAAAGAAAAAGGUGAAUUCUUUGAUUCUCUAUUUAUUUGUGAUUUUUAACUUGAAGAAAAUUAUGUUUUGAAUUCUAGGGUUUUUGAAAAAUUGGGGAUUUCAUACUAGAGUUGAAAUAUGAUGUCAAUAUGGAGAUAUAUUACGUUUUUUAUAUUCCUAAGCAUGAUUAUGGUGGUUAAUUGUGUUAAUUCUUACUUGAUUUUGAUUUUGCUCAAGUUAGUAUGAACCCUAUGUUUGAGUUUGAGAGUUAUGAUUAUAUUCUUGAAUAAUUGAGUUCAUAUAUGUGUUUUUGAGCUGGAAUUAUGUCAUAUAUGAAUAAAUUAUGAGUUUACACCACAUAGUUUGUGAGAUUGAUUUUGUUAGUUUAGGGAAAAUUAGGGCUUUCGAGUUAAGAAGGUUUAUAUUCUAUUUAUUGAUGGAUGUAGAUAUAUUAUGAUGUGAUUUUAUCAAAUAUAUGGAAAUUAGAACAGCCUACUACCUCAUUCUUUUGUAAGGCUCUAAUGUAUGGAGAUUUGUUAUGGGAAUUGUUAUGUUAUAACUAGAUGGCUAUGUUGAUGUGUUAAACAUGAGUUAAGUUUGAAGUUAAAGUAUCCUAGUAUGUAUUAUGAUCAUGUAUUUGAGUCUCUACACUUUUAAUUGGUCAAAGUAUGAGUUAAAUGUUGAGUUGAAACAGAAAGUAUAUUGUUGUCAAGUUUGGUUGGACGAACCAGUGUCUUGUGAGGGGUUUUCGGGAGUGUUCUUGUGGUUCAAAUGACUUGAAAUUUUUACAGUGAUAACUUCAUUAUGAGUAUCAGAUGUAUGCAAAAUUUCAGCUAAAUCCAACACAGUUAGAUGUGUCAAACGAUUUUAUGAAAAGUACUGCACGAAGCAGCAAAGUUCAGUGGCAGAUUCUGCCUUUCUUGAUAUAAUUUCUUAUUGUGAUUUUGUAAAUUUCUGAGAAAUAUAGACUUUAAUAGCUUUCUGAAAAAGUAAAGCUUGUAUUUUUCUUUGAAGAGGUUGAUUUUAUAUGAUUUUUCAAAGUUGAGAUUCAUAAAUGAUUGCAUAUUUGAGAUUUCUUACUUGAGAUAGUUAUGAAUAGAACUAUGCUAAGUGAUUGGUGUUUCACUUAUUAAUUGUAAGUUAAUCUAUAUAGAAUGGAUUAGUUUACUCUUAAGCUUUCUCAAGUGAGAUAUCCUAAGAGAUGGAAUGUUAGUAUAUGCUUUUAGUUCAAUUAAAUUCAUAAAAACAGACGAUCUAAACUAGAGAAUGCAACUCUAAAGUUUCAAGUGAUAGAAGUUUCAACUAGGAAUUAUUUUUGUUUAUUUCUUGUCUAUCUAUCCAAUCUUACAUUGGGAACCUCAUUAUAAUGAAGGUUCAAGUGGCAGUGUAGAGUGAACAAGCAAGGACUUCUAUUUCAUUAAGCGUAUCAGGUUAAGUUGUGAUGUGAUGCAGAUGGAAGCGAGCAGAGCAAAGUCUUGAUGUAUAUGUAUUAAAUCAGGCUCAGGAUUUCAUGUCUUCAUACAUGUAAUGCACUUGAGUUAUUCCGCUGCAACACUUAAUGUACUUUACUUUAUUGAUGUGUUGUACAGAUUUUAAACCAAUAGCUUCGAGAAUUAUGUCACUUAGACAACUUGUUGUUGUAUUAUUGUAAGUUGUCUACUCGUGAGUGUUAAAAGUGAUUCUUUAGGAUUACCAGACAUUAUUGUAAAAUAUUGUUUAAGAAGGUCAAUUAUCAUUUUCGAAA